rnacentral:lncRNA from 1 species
UAAAGAUCACUCACCACUAGGCAUCUGAAAUUGUAAAAGAGUCAAAUUUUGUUGUUUGUCCACCAUAGACUAAUGCAUGUAAUACCUGCAGAAACUCUCGCUGAAUGAUGGUUAGUAGGUGACGUCAACUUCAGCAGCUGGUUUCUCUUUAUCAGCAGUGAAGGAGUCAUCCGUUGGGACAGGUGUCGAACCACGAAGAGGCCUGAAAUCUGCAGGGAGCCGUGGCACUGCGGCAACAUCUGCAGCUGCUACCGGUGCUUCAUGCGAUGCAGCACUUCACUCCGUCUGGGUCUUGGCAGAAACCAGUAUCUUCAGGCCCACCUGCGUAGCUGGGAUGUGCCAAUGUACACAAACAGAGCAGGACUAACCUGGCUGGCAGAAGGUUCCAAGACAGUGCCAUGCUCUGUGACACUUUUCUGGGGCAGUGUGUGAUGCU